rnacentral:rRNA from 1 species
UGGGGAAUAUUGCACAAUGGGCGCAAGCCUGAUGCAGCCAUGCCGCGUGUGUGAAGAAGGCCUUCGGGUUGUAAAGCACUUUCAGCGAGGAGGAAGGUGGUGGACUUAAUACGUUCAUCAAUUGACGUUACUCGCAGAAGAAGCACCGGCUAACUCCGUGCCAGCAGCCGCGGUAAUACGGAGGGUGCAAGCGUUAAUCGGAAUUACUGGGCGUAAAGCGCACGCAGGCGGUUUGUUAAGUCAGAUGUGAAAUCCCCGGGCUCAACCUGGGAACUGCAUUUGAAACUGGCAAGCUAGAGUCUCGUAGAGGGGGGUAGAAUUCCAGGUGUAGCGGUGAAAUGCGUAGAGAUCUGGAGGAAUACCGGUGGCGAAGGCGGCCCCCUGGACGAAGACUGACGCUCAGGUGCGAAAGCGUGGGGCAGCAAACAGGAUUGAUACCCUGGUAGUCCACGCUGUAAACGAUGUCGAUUUGGAGGUUGUGCCCUUGAGGCGUGGCUUCCGGAGCUAACGCGUUAAAGUCGACCGCCUGGGG